GCUCCCGUGGUGAAAUGGAUAUCACACCAGGCUUCGAACCUGGUAUUGGGGGUUCGAAUCCUCCCGGGAGCA
rnacentral:tRNA from 1 species